rnacentral:tRNA from 1 species
GGGUGUAGAGCUUAGUGGUAGAGUGCAUGCUUAGCAUGCAGGAGGUCCUGUGUCCAAUCCUCAGUGCAUCUA